UCAGUUCGGAUUGAAGGCUGAAAUUCGCCUUCAUGAAGCUGGAAUUGCUAGUAAUGGCAGGUCAGCAUACUGCCGUGAAUACGUUCCCGGGCCUUGUACACACCGCCCGUCACACCAUGAGAGUUGGGAAUACCCGAAGCCUGUGAGCUAACUUUUAGAGGCAGCAGUCGAAGGUAGAAUCAAUGAUUGGGGUGAAGUCGUAACAAGGUAUC
rnacentral:rRNA from 1 species